AUUUACCCCAUCAGUAGAACAGAGAGUGAUACAGGUGGAGUAAAGUGAGAGAAGAGUGAUACAGAGGAAAGUGAGACAAUGUGUGUAUGGAGUAAAGAAGUGACAGUGUAGGGAUGUAGUGAUGAUGGAGGAAUGAGAGUGAGUAGGUGUAUUAAGUGAUAGUGGAGUAAUGGAGUAAAUGUGUAGGGAUUGAGUGAUGAUGGAGGAGUGUGAGUGAGUAGGUGUAUGGAGUGAAUGUGUAGAGAUGGAGUGAUGGUGUAGGGAUGGAGUGAUGAUAGAGGAGUGUGAGUGAGUAGGUGUAUGGAGUGACAGUGGAGUAAUGAAGUGAUGGUGUAGGGAUGGAGUGAUGACGAAAGAGUGUGAGUGAGUAGGUGUAUAGAGUGAUAGUGGAGUAAUGGAGUGAUGGUGUAGGGACGGAGUGAUGAUGGAGGAGUGUGAGUGAGUAGGUGUAUGGAGUGAAUGUGUAGAGAUGGAGUGAUGUUGUAGGGAUGGAGUGAUGAUAGAGGAGUGUGAGUGAGUAGGUGUAUGGAGUGAUAGUGGAGUAAUAAAGUGAUGGUGUAGGGAUGGAGUGAUGACAGAGGAAUGAGAGUGAGUAGGUGUAUUAAGUGAUAGUGGAGUACUGGAGUGAUGGUGUGGGGAUAAAGUGAUGACGGAGGAGUGUAAGUGAGUGUAUGGAGUGAUUAUUAUGGGAUGGAGUAAAAGAGGGAGCUUGCGGAGUGAUUAUUAUGGGAUGGAGUGAGAGAGUGAGUGUAUGGAGAGAUUAUUAUAGAAUGGAGUGAGUGUAUAU